GGGUAUGUAGCAAAAUGGUUAUGCAGCUGACUCUUAAUCAGCCCUACGGGAGUUCAAUCCUCCCCAUGCCCACCA
rnacentral:tRNA from 2 species